CUCACACCCAUCAACGCCCGGGUACUACGAGCCCCAGCUUAAAACCCAAAGGACUUGACGGUGUCCCAUCCACCUAGAGGAGCCUGUUCUAUAAUCGAUAAUCCCCGCUAAACCCAACCUCCUCUUGCAAUCAGCCUGUAUACCUCCGUCGUAAGCUUACCAUAUGAAUGACCUCAGUAAGCUAAAUGAUCUUAAAACCCCAAUACGUCAGGUCAAGGUGCAGCUCAUGAGAAGGCAAGCAAUGGGCUACAAUUUCUAACCUAGAACAAACGAAACACUGCAUGAAACUCAGCUGUGAAGGCGGAUUUAGUAGUAAAAAGAAAAUAGUGUGUUCUUUUUAACUAGGCCCUGGGACGUGUACACACCGCCCGUC
rnacentral:rRNA from 1 species